GUUGGUAGGGUCCAAUGUCCUCUGAAGCCCAAUGAGCGAGAGAAGCUGAAGGCUAGGAAACAUGGUGAACUUUGCUGCCCUGAUGCGUGACCAUUGGGUGAACAUAUUUGUUCCCCUUGGCUUUGUGAUCGGGAUCUACAUGGACAGAGCACAGGACCAGAAGCUGACCGCUUUCAGGAACAAAAGCGCAUUGUACAGCAGGGGAGUUAUAAAUCUGCACCCACACACCAAUACCAGAUUCACAAUAUAGAGGCGAGCCAUACCUGCAUGGAUAUUCUCUUUUCACAUUGUCCUUUUCAGAAACUAUGGCAGAUGCAAGACCAGGCCGGCCCAGUACAGCUUGGUCUUGUGGUGUGAAUCAGGCAUCAGCAUCUAGCCUUCAUAUGAAAGGAUACAUUCCUAGCAAUAAUCUAAGUGGGUACUAACGGUCCUCUGAAUAUUCUUCCUUCUGUAUAGGGAGCUGAAGCCAGGUGAGGAAGUCACCUGGGAGUAGACCCACCCAUCACCUGGAAUAUUUAUUGUGCCCAAGUCACAUCUUCUGUUGUGUGAAUGAUGUUUUCUGGAUGGUCUUCAAAUCAAGUAUGCCGAUAAGAAGUUUCUGUAUCUUUAAGGGUUGUAUCGACCAAUAAAUAUGUCCCUUUGUCA